rnacentral:rRNA from 1 species
CCUACGGGGGGCAGCAGUGGGGGAUAUUGCACAAUGGGGGGAACCCUGAUGCAGCGACGCCGCGUGGGUGAAGGAGCGCUUCGGCGCGUAAAGCCCUAUCGGCAGGGAAGAAAAUGACGGUACCUGAGUAAGAAGCCCCGGCUGACUACGUGCCGGCAGCCGCGGUAAUACGUCGGGGGCAAGAGUUAGCCGGAUUUACUGGGUGUAAAGGGGGCGUAGACGGCAGUGCAAGUCUGGAGUGAAAGGCGGGGGCUCAAACCCCGGACUGCUCUUGAAACCGGACGGCUGGAGUGCAGGAGAGGUAAGUGGAAUUCGUGGUGUAGCGGUGAAAUGCGUAGAUAUUAGGAGGAACACCAGUGGCGAAGGCGGCUUACUGGACUGUAACUGACGUUGAGGCUCGAAAGCGUGGGGAGCAAACAGGAUUAGAUACCCCUGUAGUC